AUGAACGCUGGCGGCGUGCCUCAUACAUGCAAGUCGAGCGAACGGACGAGAAGCUUGCUUCUCUGAUGUUAGCGGCGGACGGGUGAGUAACACGUGGAUAACCUACCUAUAAGACUGGGAUAACUUCGGGAAACCGGAGCUAAUACCGGAUAAUAUUUUGAACCGCAUGGUUCAAAAGUGAAAGACGGUCUUGCUGUCACUUAUAGAUGGAUCCGCGCUGCAUUAGCUAGUUGGUAAGGUAACGGCUUACCAAGGCAACGAUGCAUGGCCGACCUGAGAGGGUGAUCGGCCACACUGGAACUGAGACACGGUCCAGACUCCUACGGGAGGCAGCAGUAGGGAAUCUUCCGCAAUGGGCGAAAGCCUGACGGAGCAACGCCGCGUGAGUGAUGAAGGUCUUCGGAUCGUAAAACUCUGUUAUUAGGGAAGAACAUAUGUGUAAGUAACUGUGCACAUCUUGACGGUACCUAAUCAGAAAGCCACGGCUAACUACGUG
rnacentral:rRNA from 1 species